rnacentral:lncRNA from 1 species
GCUCCCAUCACCUCCCAACAGCGCUGCCUGCUGGGGACCAAGCCUUCAGCCCAAGAGGCUUUGAGGUCUCUCCAGAUCCACAGGACCGCGCCAGGCCUGCUGGGAGAAUGCGUGUCUGUGCCCGGCCACAGGCUGCCAGCGGGGAGGGCACUGCCAGAGGCAGAGCUGAACCACAAGGUGCGAGAACUGGUGCAAAGGGAGAAUCAAGAGGGCCCUGCUCAGCCCAGCAGCCAUGGAGCAAACCCUUUACAAAGAGCUUCUGGGCCACACAGGUCCGGGGCAUUUCUGGGUACCUGUCAU